UACGUAGGGGGCAAGCGUUGUCCGGAUUUAUUGGGCGUAAAGAGCUCGUAGGCGGUUCCGUAAGUCGUGAAGUCAAAUCUCUGGGCUCAACCCAGAAUCGCUUCCGAUACUGCGGUGACUGGAGUCCGGUAGGGGAGUGUGGAAUUCCUGGUGUAGCGGUGAAAUGCGCAGAUAUCGGGAGGAACACCAGUGGCGAAGGCGGCGCUCUGGGCUGGUACUGACGCUCAUGUACGAAAGCGUGGGGAGCAAACAGG
rnacentral:rRNA from 1 species